UGGGGGAUAUUGCACAAUGGGCGAAAGCCUGAUGCAGCGACGCCGCGUGGGGGAUGAAGGCCUUCGGGUUGUAAACUUCUUUUGCUCUGAACAAGGCAUGCCUUUGGGGUGUGUUGAGUGUAGGGGUUGAUUAGCGCCGGCUAACUACGUGCCAGCAGCCGCGGUAAUACGUAGGGCGCGAGCGUUGUCCGGAAUUAUUGGGCGUAAAGGGCUUGUAGGUGGAUGGUUGCGUCUGUCGUGAAAGCUCAUGGCUUAACUGUGGGUUUGCGGUGGGUACGGGCUGGCUUGAGUGCAGUAGGGGAGGCUGGAAUUCCUGGUGUAGCGGUGGAAUGCGCAGAUAUCAGGAGGAAUACCGGUGGCGAAGGCGGGUCUCUGGGCUGUUACUGACGCUGAGGAGCGAAAGCGUGGGGAGCGAACAGG
rnacentral:rRNA from 1 species